GCACUUUUUGUGUUAGAUCAUCUAGGAAUGGGGAAUGUUAUAAUUACUUUAUUCAAUUUCAUAUUUGUUGUUCUUAAAGCUGUUAUUUUCUUCUCUAGAAAGUCCGGCAUCCAAGAUUCGGAAAGCCAAUUCAGGCCUGGGGAGAACCCGUGAUAAACACAGAGGCAAAAGAUGGUGUUUUGAAACCAGGAACUAGCACCUUCUUUGAGGACAAUAAUUCUAAUAAUGAAAAUGAAGAUGCGGUUAGAACCUUUUCCCAACCAUCAAGUGAAGUUUCAGGCUUUUCUCAUCCUGCCUUCCCAGCACCGGAACCUCUCACGUCUUCAGCAGUCCUUGGUGUUACAGAGGUAAGUC